UCAACAUAUUUCUUUCAUGAACGAAGUCAAACUUGCAAGAUUCGCUCAUUUCGAGGAUCCACUUGCAGUAAAACAGAAGAGUGCAUGCCUGGAUUCGGAUGUUACGGGUCUCGGUGCGACUGUUCUUGGAAUCAAUAUUACGAAUCCUCAACUUGCAAAAAUAAAUCGUCUCACGGCAAAUCUUGUGUUUACAAUGGUCAGUGUUUGAGUCCUUUAAUUUGCAAAAAGGGGCAAUGCAUUUGUCCAAUAAACAUGUUUCUCAACACAGCAUCUGUAUGUCAUUAUGGUGAGAAUAUCAAUG
rnacentral:sRNA from 1 species